CUCUUGCCCUGCCUGAUGGAAUGGUCAGUCGAUGCUGUCCCUGAGGAGCCAUGCCCUGCCUUAGGUUUCCCAGACAGUCCUCUGAAAGGCUGGACAACCACUGCUUACAAAUAAAAGAGAACUUCUGGGAGGAAUGGCAAGAAAAAAAAAUCAGUAAAGAGAAUGCAGUUGAUUGGAGAUAAGUCAGAUGUGUUUUUCACUUUAUCCUCUGGUGUAUAUGCCAAUGCAGACAAUGUCCCAUGACUGUAAUUGUCACUCAGCCGUCUGUCAGUGAUGAGAAGAAAAGGGUGACAGCCUUGACAUCCCACCAAUCAUCCCUCUGGAAAAUUGAUAUCGUCCUCCCCAGUAAACAACAGCUAAAUAAUCGACCAGCCUUGCCAGCACAUCCCUGAACAAUCAGCUUCCAUUAAGGGCAGAAGCCACACAUUUAUCCCACCGUACUCCAAUCAAUAGCACACUGACUUGUUCUAUGUUCAAGCAUGCCACUGCUCAAGGUCUGCAUUUAGCAAAGGCUACCUUUCAAGUCUUUCAAACUUAAAUGUACAGUGGAGCUUUUGGGGGUAAGUAAAGUCCUCUGCUUUCAUGUAAAAUAUCUUUUCCUUGCUAAUUUGGCAUACUUAAAUUUCCAGGAAA